UACGUAGGGGGCAAGCGUUGUCCGGAUUCAUUGGGCGUAAAGAGCGUGUAGGCGGCCAGGUAGGUCGGUUGUGAAAACUGGAGGCUCAACCUUCAGAGGUCGACCGAAACCAUCUGGCUAGAGUCCGGGAGAGGAGAGUGGAAUUCCUGGUGUAGCGGUGAAAUGCGCAGAUAUCAGGAAGAACACCCGUGGCGAAAGCGGCUCUCUGGAACGGUACUGACGCUGAGACGCGAAAGCGUGGGGAGCGCACAGG
rnacentral:rRNA from 1 species